AGGACGAACGCUGGCGGCGUGCUUAACACAUGCAAGUCGAGCGGAAAGGCCCUUCGGGGUACUCGAGCGGCGAACGGGUGAGUAACACGUGAGCAACCUGCCCCUGGCUCUGGGAUAGCCUUCGGAAACGGGGAUUAAUACCGGAUAUUCACUGCUUCCUGCAUGGGGGGUGGUGGAAAGUUUUUCGGCUGGGGUGGGCUCGCGGCCUAUCGGCUUGUUGGGGGGGUGACGGCCCACCAAGGCGACGACGGGUAGCCGGCCUGAGAGGGCGACCGGCCACACUGGGACUGAGACACGGCCCAGACUCCUACGGGAGGCAGCAGUGGGGAAUAUUGCGCAAUGGGCGGAAGCCUGACGCAGCGACGCCGCGUGCGGGAUGAAGGCCUUCGGGUUGUAAACCGCUUUCACCAGGGACGAAGCGAGAGUGACGGUACCUGGGGAAGAAGCGCCGGCUAACUACGUGCCAGCAGCCGC
rnacentral:rRNA from 1 species